CAGUCGCCGCGGUAAUACGAAGGGGGCUAGCGUUGCUCGGAAUGACUGGGCGUAAAGGGCGCGUAGGCGGAUUGCGCAGUCAGAUGUGAAAUUCCUGGGCUUAACCUGGGGGCUGCAUUUGAGACGCGUAGUCUAGAGUGUGAAAGAGGGUCGUGGAAUUCCCAGUGUAGAGGUGAAAUUCGUAGAUAUUGGGAAGAACACCGGUGGCGAAGGCGGCGACCUGGUUCAUAACUGACGCUGAGGCGCGAAAGCGUGGGGAGCAAACAGGAUUAGAUACCCGCGUAGUCCCUGUCUCUUAUAC
rnacentral:rRNA from 1 species